UACGGGGGGGCAAGCGUUGUUCGGAAUUACUGGGCGUAAAGGGCCAGUAGGCGGCCAACUAAGUCCGACGUGAAAUCCCAAGGCUUAACCUGGGAACUGCAUUUGGGACUGGUUUGCUAGAGAUCGGGAGAGGAGAGUGGAAUUCCCAGUGUAGAGGUGAAAUUCGUAGAUAUUGGGAAGAACACCGGUGGCGAAGGCGGCUCUCUGGACCGAUACUGACGCUGAGGCGCGAAAGCGUGGGGAGCAAACAGG
rnacentral:rRNA from 1 species